GGCCCGUUAGCUCAGUUGGUUAGAGCGUCGUGCCAAUAACGCGAAGGUCGUGGGUUCGAUCCCCCCACGGGCCA
rnacentral:tRNA from 1 species